AUGCUUGUGGGUCGCCAUUCUCCCUGCCGCCUGGAGGAGGCGCUGCGGGUGGCCUGGAGAGCUCCCCACUACCAUCCUGGCCCUGAGACUGAGUGACUACCUGCUGCUGUUUGUCAUCAGUGCCCAGCAUGGACAGGGGCAGCCUCCUGCCCUUCCAACUCUGGUGCCCCCGGCCCUUCAGCAAGUAUUCCCAGAACCAGCCGCGUCCACCUUCCGCAACCCUCAAGCCACCAGUCUGUCCUGACACAAGCAGCGGGACUGAGCCAGACCACAGGCCUGCACACUUGGAGAGCACACCACCUGCCUUGGCUGCAGAAGCCCCCACCUCCCAGCAUGCUCCACUCCUCUCUACAGCAGCUUCAGGUGAUGAGGGUCGAG
rnacentral:lncRNA from 1 species